UUCAAUUUGGCAGAAAAAAUUGCAGUAAAUUUAGAAUUUAUUUAUGAAGUAAUUCAAUUGAAA
rnacentral:tRNA from 1 species